rnacentral:rRNA from 1 species
GCAGUCGAACGAUGAACCUCCUUCGGGAGGGGAUUCAGUGGCGAACGGGUGAGUAACACGUGGGCAAUCUGCCCUUCACUCUGGGACAAGCCCUGGAAACGGGGUCUAAUACCGGAUACGACCCCCGACCGCAUGGUCUGUGGGUGGAAAGCUCCGGCGGUGAAGGAUGAGCCCGCGGCCUAUCAGCUUGUUGGUGGGGUGAUGGCCUACCAAGGCGACGACGGGUAGCCGGCCUGAGAGGGCGACCGGCCACACUGGGACUGAGACACGGCCCAGACUCCUACGGGAGGCAGCAGUGGGGAAUAUUGCACAAUGGGCGAAAGCCUGAUGCAGCGACGCCGCGUGAGGGAUGACGGCCUUCGGGUUGUAAACCUCUUUCAGCAGGGAAGAAGCGAGAGUGACGGUACCUGCAGAAGAAGCGCCGGCUAACUACGUGCCAGCAGCCGCGGUAAUACGUAGGGCGCAAGCGUUGUCCGGAAUUAUUGGGCGUAAAGAGCUCGUAGGCGGCUUGUCACGUCGGAUGUGAAAAUCCCGGGGCUUAACCCCGGGUCUGCAUUCGAUACGGGCAGGCUAGAGUUCGGUAGGGGAGAUCUGGAAUUCCUGGUGUAGCGGUGAAAUGCGCAGAUAUCAGGAGGAACACCGGUGGCGAAGGCGGAUCUCUGGGCCGAUACUGACGCUGAGGAGCGAAAGCGUGGGGAGC